rnacentral:lncRNA from 1 species
UGGUUCCACGUCAGCGGCCCUCCGCCUCUUGGGUUUGCGUGACGGUUCCACACCGACCCUCCGCCUCUUGGGUUCGGGAGGUGGUUCCAUCUCAGCCGCCCUCUGCCUCUUGGGUUUGCGUGGUUUUUCUGCCUCAGCCUCCUGAGUAGCUAAGGGAGGUGUCUUGAGAUUAUCAUCGGCUGAGGGUGGAAGCGGCCCCCGCAGACGCUCGGCAGGUGUCUUGAUAUUAUCAUCUGCUGAGGGUGGAAGGGCAGUGAGCUGACGCUCGGAAGGUGUCUUGAGAUUAUCAUCCGCUGAGGGUGGAAGGGGAGUGAGCACACACUCGGGAGGUGUCUUGAGAUUAUCAUCCGCUGAGGGUGGAAGGGGAGUGAGCAGACACUCGGGAGGUGUCUUGAGGCUCAGGGAGUUAUCAGUUAUAGAAUGUUGUUGAGUUGGAGGAGGUGGCUGGUGGCCCAUCCUG